rnacentral:lncRNA from 1 species
UCGGAUUCAGUCCAUGGAUCUUAGUGUAUACAUCUCAAUUAAUCAGUUCUUUGGCUUGUCUCCCCACGUGCCACGCUACCACCACGCGUGAAAUGCGCCCGUCCCGGUGCGGGCGACUUGGUGUUUUCGCUGGCGGCCCCCGGCCCCGAGAACCCCGCGGAGCCCACCGUCAGCCGCGCGAGCUUGCCCGCCUCUGCGCCGCCCCGCGGUGGAGGCGGCCGCCGGGGCCCGCCGGGCUCUGCCCUCAGAUUGAAAAGUCUGUUUGUCAGCAAGAUGGCUGGAACGGAUGUCCCAGGUCUGGAUGAGACCCUUGAGGAAGACUGGUGAGUUAGAGACAUAGUAUUUUCUCAGUAAGAAUUGUGAAGCAUAGCACACAUGCACAAACAUGACUUUUAAAAACUAACAAUAAUGUGAACACAUAUAUUAUCAUCAUUUAAAUGAGACUAAAGAGUGUUGCCAAUAAUCCACAGUCCCCCAUAUUUUCCCCAAUAGCAUUUUCCCUUCCUGCCCUUUCAGAAGUAAUGAUUUUCCUAACUUUCUGAGGCAGCAUUCUAUUGCCUUCCUUCAUAUUUUAUCUCCCGCAUUUAAAUCCCCAAAAUCUUGUUUAAUUUUUCCUGUUUCUAAAUUUUACAUCAAUUUACUAUAUGUAUGCACUUGUGUCUUUUGCAUAAUUCUUUGCUAAUGGAAUUUGUCCAUAUUGUUGCAUGUGGAUGUACUUCAUUCAUUUUUCAUUGCUGUGCAGUAUUCUUUUGUAAGAACAGAAUAUUCUACCACUAUCCACUUAUCCAUUCUACUUUUGAUGAAAGUGUGGGUGGUUUCCAGUGGUGAGCCAUGACAAUUACUGCUGUGUGAGUGCAUCUUAAGGUGUGCACAUGCACAUAUAUACAUGUAAGCCCAGCAGUGGGCUUACAGGGCUGUGGCAUAUAGAUGUUCUUCACUCUUCUGAGUAAUGCUACACUGUUUUCUCAAGUGGUUGCUUCACUUCAAGUGUCAGCAGCCAUGUGUGAGUUCCACCCUCCUAGGCAAGCGUGGUGCUCGUCAUCGGGCAGCUGUGUAAUGAAACCUCAGGGUAGUAAUAGGAUGCACUCCCCGAGUGAGCCUUAGUAUGUGUUCUUGCUUAUUAAUCUACUGAUAACUAAUUAAUUGAUUCAAAAUUUCAGAUUUCCAUGAAUGGCACUUUCAAAUCCUCUACCCACUUCCAUGUUGGGUUUUUUUGGUUGUUUCAGAUUGGGUUUCUCAGAAAACAGAGCUUACAACAAGUGAACAUGUGCUAAUAUUUUGUAGUGGGGCAUGCUGGGAGUUGUGAGUGUGGAAGAGGAGAGGGAGGCCUGGGAAGAGGGAAGGCACAGUAAACACAUUUUAGGACUUUUGGCCACCACAGGAUACUAUUUCUGAUUAAACAAGAUGUACUUUAGUGUUACAAUGACUUGUUAAUAACUGUUUAUAAUAUUUAAGUGGAAGCAUAUAUUUUCCCAAGAUAACUCAGUACUAUAAAGAUACCCAGUUUUCUAGUAAACUUAACAAAAUUUGAACUUUCAAGAGAAAGCAAACAUCUUUUGCAUGAAAUAUGGUUGGGAAAAACAAUAUAAUAAAAUAACAAAAACUAAGACA